UAGGGAAUCUUCCGCAAUGGACGAAAGUCUGACGGAGCAACGCCGCGUGAGUGAUGAAGGUUUUCGGAUCGUAAAGCUCUGUUGUUAGGGAAGAACAAGUACCGUUCGAAUAGGGCGGUACCUUGACGGUACCUAACCAGAAAGCCACGGCUAACUACGUGCCAGCAGCCGCGGUAAUACGUAGGUGGCAAGCGUUAUCCGGAAUUAUUGGGCGUAAAGCGCGCGCAGGUGGUUUCUUAAGUCUGAUGUGAAAGCCCACGGCUCAACCGGGGAGGGUCAUUGGAAACUGGGAGACUUGAGUGCAGAAGAGGAAAGUGGAAUUCCAUGUGUAGCGGUGAAAUGCGUAGAGAUAUGGAGGAACACCAGUGGCGAAGGCGACUUUCUGGUCUGUAACUGACACUGAGGCGCGAAAGCGUGGGGAGCAAACA
rnacentral:rRNA from 1 species